GCUGGUGUAGCUCAGUGGUACAGGGUAUGCUUUGUAUGUAUGAUGUCCUGGGUUCAAUUCUCAGGUCGCA